rnacentral:rRNA from 1 species
AACGAACGCUGGCGGCAUGCCUAACACAUGCAAGUCGAACGAGACCUUCGGGUCUAGUGGCGCACGGGUGCGUAACGCGUGGGAACCUGCCCUUAGGUUCGGAAUAACUCCCCGAAAGGGGUGCUAAUACCGGAUAAUGUCUUCGGACCAAAGAUUUAUCGCCUUUGGAUGGGCCCGCGUUGGAUUAGCUAGUCGGUAGGGUAAAAGCCUACCAAGGCGACGAUCCAUAGCUGGUCUGAGAGGAUGAUCAGCCACACUGGGACUGAGACACGGCCCAGACUCCUACGGGAGGCAGCAGUGGGGAAUAUUGGACAAUGGGCGAAAGCCUGAUCCAGCAAUGCCGCGUGAGUGAUGAAGGCCUUAGAGUUUAAAGCUCUUUUACCCGGGAUGAUAAUGACAGUACCGGGAGAAUAAGCUCCGGCUAACUCCGUG